rnacentral:rRNA from 1 species
AGUGAACGCUGGCGGUAGGCCUAACACAUGCAAGUCGAACGGCAGCACAGUAAGAGCUUGCUCUUACGGGUGGCGAGUGGCGGACGGGUGAGGAAUACAUCGGAAUCUACUUUUUCGUGGGGGAUAACGUAGGGAAACUUACGCUAAUACCGCAUACGACCUACGGGUGAAAGCAGGGGAUCUUCGGACCCUGCGCGAUUGAAUGAGCCGAUGUCGGAUUAGCUAGUUGGCGGGGUAAAGGCCCACCAAGGCGACGAUCCGUAGCUGGUCUGAGAGGAUGAUCAGCCACACUGGAACUGAGACACGGUCCAGGUUCCUACGGGAGGCAGCAGUGGGGAAUAUUGGACAAUGGGCGCAAGCCUGAUCCAGCCAUACCGCGUGGGUGAAGAAGGCCUUCGGGUUGUAAAGCCCUUUUGUUGGGAAAGAAAAGCAGCAGGUUAAUACCCCGCUGUUCUGACGGUACCCAAAGAAUAAGCACCGGCUAACUUCGUG